GAAGGGGGGACGGAGAAGGCUAUGUUAGCCGGGCGACGGUUGUCCCGGUUUAAGCAUGUAGGCUGGUUAUCCAGGCAAAUCCGGAUAAUCAAGGCUGAGGUGUGAUGACGAGGCACUACGGUGCUGAAGUAACAAAUGCCCUGCUUCCAGGAAAAGCCUCUAAGCAUCAGGUAACAUCAAAUCGUACCCCAAACCGACACAGGUGGUCAGGUAGAGAAUACCAAGGCGCUUGAGAGAACUCGGGUGAAGGAACUAGGCAAAAUGGUGCCGUAACUUCGGGAGAAGGCACGCUGGUGUGUAGGUGAAGUCCCUGCGGAUGGAGCUGAGACCAGUCGAAGAUACCAGCUGGCUGCAACUGUUUAU
rnacentral:rRNA from 1 species